rnacentral:rRNA from 1 species
UGGGGAAUCUUGGACAAUGGGCGCAAGCCUGAUCCAGCCAUGCCGCGUGAGUGAUGAAGGCCUUAGGGUCGUAAAGCUCUUUCGCCAGGGAUGAUAAUGACAGUACCUGGUAAAGAAACCCCGGCUAACUCCGUGCCAGCAGCCGCGGUAAUACGGAGGGGGUUAGCGUUGUUCGGAAUUACUGGGCGUAAAGCGCGCGUAGGCGGGUUGUUAAGUUAGAGGUGAAAUCCCGGGGCUCAACCCCGGAACUGCCUUUAAUACUGGCAACCUAGAGUUCGAGAGAGGUGAGUGGAAUUCCGAGUGUAGAGGUGAAAUUCGUAGAUAUUCGGAGGAACACCAGUGGCGAAGGCGGCUCACUGGCUCGAUACUGACGCUGAGGUGCGAAAGUGUGGGGAGCAAACAGGAUUAGAUACCCUGGUAGUCCACACCGUAAACGAUGAAUGCCAGUCGUCGGGUAGCAUGCUAUUCGGUGACACACCUAACGGA